rnacentral:lncRNA from 1 species
ACCGACCAAAAACUCAACGGGGCAGCCGCAUGCUACACCGCCACAUCAUUUUCCCAAGAGCCUGUGCCCCGAUGAGACCACUGGCUCGGUAAUGAGUUGUUUGCAGACCUCAAGAACACAGUGAUGAUGACCUGUGACCUCCAAGCACACUGUCUGGGGAGCAUGAGAAGUGAAACGACCUGUGUGCCUGCAAACAAUGAGAGGCCUUCAGCGGUCGAGAGGUGACAGUUUCAACAGAAAGCCGCAAGGGGAAUCAAUACAGUGCAAACUACAAUUUCACUGUCCGAUCAUCGACCAUCAGCCCUGGCCGAUCGGAUGAUACCCUGGCUGGUUG